rnacentral:lncRNA from 1 species
CUGGCCUGGGCGGAGUGCGGGGCCGACAUCUGCGGAGGGUUAGGAGGGGAAAGGUUUUUUCUACCCGCCGGCUCGGCGACCAGGCUGAAACUCAUGUUUGAAUUUAGUGAGCCGUUUGUUCGUUAGUCCGGAACACUAGCGCGGUAGGCCAAGCUGCGAGGAGGCGGCGAAAUCAGCGAAUAGCAAAUUAUAAAAGAAACAAGGCUUUAUCUCCUAGGCCCUCUAAAGCAUCCCCAGGAGAUCCGUAUCCCCGUUUUGGAGAGAACGCUGAAGCUCAGAAAAACUCAGUGGAAAGCGGCAGACCCAAGCCUCCUCGCCAAGUCUGAGUGACCGUGAAGCCCUGGUUUUUCCUUCUUUUUCUUUCUUUUUGUACUUUUUUUUUUUUUUUGGUAGAGUCGGGCUGUUGCCCGGCCUGGUCUCAAACUCCUCUAACUCAAACUAAAAAGCCAUCCUCCGGCCUCGUCCUGCCAAAGUGCUGAGAUCACAGGCAUAACCUGCCGCGCCCGGCCCAAGUCCCUAUUUUUCUUUCCAGGCUUCCUAAGUUCAUUUAAAGGCGAAUUUAUCUAUUAGUAAUGACGGCUGACGAGUGAUGGCAGAGUGGACAGGUGUAAUGGAGAGAUGAAAAAUGAACCUUCGCCUGUAAUCCCAGCGCUUUGGGAGGCUGAGGCGGGAGGAUCACCUGAGGCCAGGUAUUUGAGACUAGCAUGGGCAACAAAUUGAGACCCCAUGUAUCCAAUUUUUGUGUUUUUUUUAAUGUGGUGUGGUGGCGUGUGCCUGUGGUCCCUGCUACUCCAAAGGCUAAGGUGGGAGGAUCACUUGAACCCAUGUUGAGGCUUCAGUGAGCUAUGAUUGCACCACUGCACUCCAGACUGGGUAAUAGAGACCCUGUCUCUAAAAAAAAAAAAAAAAAAAAAUUAAAACUUAAAUUUUUAAAAAUUGAAAAAUUAACCUGAUAGGGGAAAUUUUAAAAAUCAGAAGUCUAUGUCAGUCGCGGUGGCUCAUGCCUGUAAUCCCAACACAUUGGGAGGCCGGGGCGGGCAGAUUGCCUGAGGUCAGGAGUUCGAAACCAGUCUGGCCAACAUGGUGAAACCCCGUCUCUACUAAAAAUACAAAAAAAUUAGCCGGGCGUGGUGGCAUGUGCCUGUGAUUCUAGCUACUCGGGAGGCUGAGGCAGGAGAAUGGCGUGAACCCAGGAGGCGGAGCUUGCAGUGAGCCGAGAUCGCGCCACUGCACUCCAGCCUGGGCGAGAGUGAGACUCAGUCUCAAAAAAAAAAAAAAAAAAAAGAAGCCUCAGGACACAUUGGUAAAAUUUCUCACAUAAGUAUGACACACCUGGGCCGGGCGCGGUGGCUCACGUCUGUAAUCCCAGCACUUUGGGAGGCCGAGGCGGGUGGAUCACGAGGUCAGGAGACCGAGACCAUCCUGGCUAACACGGUGAAACCCCAUCUCUACUAAAAAUACAAAAAAAAAUUAGCUGGGCGUGGUGGCGGGCGCCUGUAGUCCCAGCUACACGUAAGGCUGAGGCAGGAGAAUGGCGUGAACCCGGGAGGCCGAGCUUGCAGUGAGCCGAGAUCGUGCUACUGCACUCCAGCCUGGGCAACAGAGCUAGACUCCAUCUCAAAAAAAGAAAGGAUUCUCCACCGGGCGCGGUGGCUCACGCCUGUAAUCCCAGCACUUUGGGAGGCCAAGGCAGGCGGAUCACCUGAGGUCAGGAGUUCAAGACCAGCCUGGCCAACAUGGUAAAACCCUGUCUCUACUAAAAAAUACAAAAAUUAGCCAGGUGGCGUAGUGGCGCACACCCGUAAUCCCAGCUACUCGGGAGGCUGUGGCAGGAGAAUCUCUUGAACUUGAGAGGUGGAGGUUGCUGUGACAAAAGAGCAAGACUCCGUCUCAAAAAAAAAAACAACAAGAAAAUAGGAUUCUACAUAUUAAAUCGCUACAGACACUGCUGCAGAAAGCCAUUCCCUGCAGAAAAAAGAGGGCACAGUCAUUUCCCCAGCCAUGGAAGUUUCUUCCUUGGUGGAUCCGUGGUUCUGAACUCAACUCUGGUAGCACAUCAGAAUACUUGAGAAUAUUUUAGAAAGAAAGAGUUGCAUAAUAGCCCUAAACUGGAAACACAAAAAUUAGGGCCGGGCGCAGUGACUCACGCCUGUAAUCCCAGCACUUUGGAAGGCCAAGGCAGGCGGAUCACGAAGUCAGGAGUUCAAGACCAGCCUGGCCAAUAUGGUGAAACCCCAUCUCUACUAAAAAUACAAAAAAAAAAAAAAAAAAAAUAGCCAGGUGUGGUGGCGCACGCCUGUAAUCCCAGCUACUUGGGAGGCUGAGGCAGGAGAAUCACUUGAACCAGGGAGGUGAAGGUUGCAGUGAGCAGAGAUCGCACCACUGCACUCCAGCCUGGGCAACAGAGUGAGACUCGUCUCAAAAGAAAAACAAAUUUUGGUACAUCCAUCCAUGCAACAGAAUAGUAACAACUACCAAUACACCCAUGACUGAAUCUCCAAAACAUUAUGCUGAGUGAAAGAAGCCAGACAUCAGGAGAUGUCCAGCAUGAUUCCAUUCAUAUGAAACUCCAGAGCAAGCAAAACCAACCUAUACAGACAAUGCAGAUUAGUGGAUGUCUGGGGCUGGAGAGGGAGGUGGAAAUUGACUGGGAAGAGAGAGAAGGAAUGCUUUGGGGUGAUGGAAAUGUGGCCAUCCAGUCCACCAGCCGGUGCACUCCAGCCUGGGUGACAAAGGGAGACUCUGUCUCAAAAAAAAAAAAAAAAUGUCAGGUGUGGUGGCUCAUGCCUAUAAUCCCAGCACUUUGGGAGGCCAAGGGGGGAGUAUCGCUUGAGCCAGGAGUUCAAGAUUAGCCUGGGCAAUAAAGGGUAACCCCAUCUCUACAAAAAAUACAAAAAUUAGCUGAGUGUGGUGGCAUGCGCCUAUAGCGCUAGCUACUUGGGGGACUGAGGUGGGAGAGUCACUUGAGCCUGAAAGAUCGAGCCUGCAAUGAGUUUUGAUCAUGCCACUGCACUCCAGCCUGGGUGACAGAGUGAGACCCUGUCUCAAAAAAAUAUAUGGGCAGAUGCCAAGUUACAGCCUGUGCAGCAUAGUGAAACCCUGUCUCUAAAUAAUAAUAAAAAUAAUAUAGAUGCUCAGGCUUCACCAGAGACCAAUUAUCAAAUUAUCUGGGCUGGGGUCUGGCCAUCAGUAUUACUUGAAAGUUCUCCAAGUGGUGGGCUGGGCACGGUGGCUCACGCCUGUAAUCCCAGCAGUUUGGGAGGCUGAGGUGGGCAGAUCACAAGGUCAGGCGUUCGAGACCAGCGUGACCAACAUUGUGAAACCCCAUCUCUACUAAAAAUACAAAAAUUAGUCAGGUGUAGUGGCGCGUGCCUGUAAUCCCAGUUACUCAGGAGGCUGAGGCAGGAGAAUUACUUGAACCCAGGAGGUGGAGGUUGCAGCGAGCUGAGACCAUGCCACUGCACUCUAGCCUGGGCAACAGAGUGAGACUCUGCCUCAAAAACAGAAAAGAAAAGAAAAGAAAGUUCUUCAAGUGGUAAUUUUUUGUAGCCAGGGAUGUAGGGAUGUGAACCACAGGACCCUCCCUGUUCUCAAGGUAUAG